CUUAGUUUUUCUUCACCAUUUCCUUGUGGCAGUUAGUCUUGAUUAAUUUGACUGGAAAUGGAAACAUGUAAGGGAUUAAUAUAAGACACUUCUGGGAUUCUAGGAGGCAUCCUGCAUAUACACAUAAUAUCUGAAGAGCAAGGUAAAAAUAAAAUGAAAAUAAUAUCCUCUUUAUUUGCUUUGAUAAGAAGUAGAAAGUUUCUGAAAAAAAUA
rnacentral:lncRNA from 1 species